UCCAUUAAAUAUAAAGAAACUAAUUACUUUAUAAUGUUUUUUAAUAACUUUUAUACAUUUACAAGGAGUCCUUACCUAUAAUUUCCUCCAUCAACCAUCAUACCUUCCCUACUUUCUUUCUUUUCCUUUAUAUCAAGUAUGCUCACAUGAAGUAGCAUGCAUUCAGAUUACAUAGGAGGAGGACCACAUGAGGACCAGAAGAGGACCAGCCGAGGACCACACCAGGACAGCACGAGGACUUAGUUAUAAUGUAGUAUAGAGUAAGAUAAUAUUAUUUGUAUAAUUAAAUGUAUAAUUUUAAUCUAUUUAUUCUUCUCCCUUUCUCCAUUGAUGGUCAAGUUAGUAACUAAGAUGAAUGUGGUUACGCGAAAAGUGGAUUUGUGAGCUUCUAUGUACUUCUGUCUAGCAUUAAAAAGUUGUUAAAAAUA
rnacentral:lncRNA from 1 species